UUAAGUUCAGCGGGUCUUCCUACCUGAUCCGAGGUCAACCUUGGGUAAAAUAAGGCUUUUAACGGCCGGAACCCGCAGCACGCCCUGAGCGAGAUGUAAACUACUACGCUCGGAGUGACAGCGAGCCCGCCACUGGUUUCAGGGCCUGCGGCAGCCGCAGGUCCCCAACACAAGCCUGGGGCUUGAUGGUUGAAAUGGAC
rnacentral:misc_RNA from 1 species